CCCAGCUCCGAAGGCAGGAGCACAGAAGUUAGGUUGGCAAUACCAUACCAGGCCAUCCUUACUUCUGCAAUGUGGCUGGCGGCAGCUCUGCCUUCAGAGCUGGGCUCCUAGCCUGCAGCUGCCACGCUUUGGCCACCCAGCUGUGACAGCAGCAUUGCAACCCCCCCUCCACACACACACACAAUUCCUUUUUGGGUCAGGACCCUUACAAUUACACCACCAUGAAAUUUCAGAUUUAAAUAGCUGAAAUAAUGAAAUUUACGAUUUUUAAAAUCCUAUGACCGUGAAAUUGACCAAAAUGGACAGUGAAUUUGGUAGGGCCCUGACAAUAAGGCACCAGCUGAUUCAUAGUUGAACAACAACGCUCACCCGCUCCCUUGGCCAAUGAAGUCCUGCGCGUCUCAAGCUGGGACCCAAAAAUGAAGGCUUCCACAAUGAUUAGGCACUUCUGAAAAUUAGGCCAGAAUUUUCACAACACACCUCAAAGACAAGCAAGCAUCUCCAAUAUACAGAGGGCUAAACUAAGCCGUAGAGAGGCUACAGUCAAUGGGACUUGUGCUCCUAAGUCAUGGAGCUACCUUUGAAACUCCCACCCAAGAACAACAAGCUUUAAGCUUUUGUAUGCACUAGACAAUCAAUCAACAAUGCAGAUCCCAUUGGCUGGAGAAAUUCCAUCACCGUGAACAAAACCUCAGCAUUUAGACAGGGCACAUGUGAAGUGGAGAUAAACGUUUCUCACUGGGUGCAAAUGUCAACCAGGCAUAUGCACACGAACCAGAGAACUAGAACUGACCCCAAACCAAACCCCCAGAAGGCAGGAGAGACUGUAGUGCUGAAAGCAUCCUGGCCUGACUGGUAAAUGGAUCAGACCAAAACAAACGAACAAAAAAGGCCAAGGCAUCAGUAAACAUUCCAUGGUACGAUCUCUCAUGAACCACCAGGCCUAGAAACUCAUGCUAUACCCCUCUCUAUAUGUCUGGGAAUGCCAGCUAUCCAAUGCACUACAGAGGUGUGUACCAGCUUCGAGGUGCUAGAAAUGUCAGACUCUAAGAAUCACACCGUUCAGUUUGCACGACCACUGCAUCUAAUUCUUGCAGAGUAGCAUCUUGGCCUGUGACCCAGCCAGUCAACACCUGCACCAGGGCAAAACAAUCCUUGGGAAGAGCAGAUCCAAACUCUGUGAAUGGCCCACCAUAUUUAUUGUAGUCCCAACCAAAACCCUGGAUCUAAACUUUGGCGGAUCUGGACCUGAAUGGUACAGCUCAGGCCCAUUUCUUUCUAUUUCAGUGUUGCCAACUCUCAUGAUUUUAUUACAAGUCUUGGAUACCUGAUGUUUUCCCUAAAGCCCCAGCUCCUGGAAUCAUGUGAUUAGGCAUUUUCACACAGCCUACCCAUCUACUCUGUUUUACAUAUCCAAUCAUCCGUCCAGGCAAGAAAACACCCCUCAGAUGGUAUCAACUCUGCAUCUCAAUCUACCAGGCUGGCUUCAAACCUGUCUCAAGCCCAAAGGCCCUGUGUAGCCUAUUGCCAACCCACUGAUCAGUAGAAUUUGUCUCUGCAAGGCUUGCAACAAAAAUGGAGGCCAAUUGCCUCAGUGACACUUGAGGGACAAUGGAUCAGAGGAUCGAUACUGAAAGGAGUUUCAUUCUUGGAGAACGGACUUGGGAGAGUCUGGGCUCACUGGAAACAGGACUAUUUAGAGAGCCAAUAAAUAUCCUGAAUCUUCAUCUAAAUAGGAAUCGGAAGCCAUAAAUGGGGUGCCAUUUGGAUAAAGCCUGGAGUCCACAUUAGUCGCCGACAAUGGCAAGUCCCAAUUCACCUUCCAACAGAAGAUUAAAUGUUAUGGUUAAAGUUUUCAAAGCAGCCUAAGGCAAAGAGGUGCCCAAAUCCCGCUGGGAGUUGUGACCGCAAGUACUUUAGUCCUUCUGAAACCCCAUAGGAGAUUGUCCCACAGAGCGACCAUGAGGAAAGAGAGAGAAGGAACCGUAAACAAGGACAGCUACAGAGAACCAGACAUGAAUGCUGACCAUUUAUUUCUCUUCCAGGAGAAGUAAAGGCCUUUCCCUAAUAUCCCAGCAAAAGCUGUGACAGCCCAUGUGUCAGGAUACCACCAUCUGGAAUAAUUUAUCGGUUCUAAGAAGUUCAGCCUCCACAUGGCUGACGUCAGGGGAAUCUCAUAGGAUAAGGUGGAUCAGAUGGACUUGAGCGGCCAAAGACAGGACAGUAACUGAAUUUAGAGCCGGUGCAUCUUACGCCUUCUGCUGCACCUCUCAGUGUGCAACCUACACCAACUUAGACAUGUCGAUGGGUAACAACACUCCCCAGAAAUCACCACAUCUGGAAUUUGCUCACUGAGCCUGAGGGAUUCCAAGAGGGUGAGUCGAAGAUAGUGGAGAUCACACACCGGGGAGACCACACAGUAAAUGAUGCCGGCUUUAAGUCCUCAGACUCCACCUCAGAAUCUGGCUCUUUGAAUUUUGGCCCAGCUCUUCCCCUCGCAGGGCAGCGGAGUUGGCAAUUCCCAUUACAAGCACUGCUAGUAACUGGAUGCAAGCGCUGUGCCUCCAGCCCACUCACAUACAAGAGACGGACGCAGCUAACGCCAUUGCUGAGGUUGGACCUUUCAGACGCUUGGAGUGGAGCGGAACUUGGGAAGCAAGCAUUGGCUCUCCACCAGUCUCCCCCAGAAAAAGGCACAUUCCAAAUAAGCCAGCCCCUUUCCCAAAGUGACAAGAUAACGUUUUACUGAAGGACUCAGGAAACCCUCUGACUUGCAAUAGCCUGGGACAGGACAGACAGCCGAGGGGGAGGGCUAUUAGCACAGCUGGCUUUCAAGAAGGCAAGGGAGUCACCUUUAACCCGACAAAUGCACGUGAAUACAAGUCUAUUGUGCACAAAUGUAGCUUUGAUUAAUGAUUUUCCUGGGCUUUCACUGCUUCCUGUACCAGGCUGCAAUGACAGAGGGGACAGGCCCAGAGAAGACAGAGAGAACAUUUCCCCAAAAAGACCUGUCAUUUCAGGUGCUGAGCACCCGCAGUUCCAACAGGGCUCGGCAUGUGCCCAACACUCCUGAAAACCACGUCUGAGGUGCCUGAAAUUGGGUAGCCAAAAUCAGAGGCCCCUUUGGCUGCUGGUCACUUGCCUGUAGUCCCAUAGGGAGACGGUAGUGAAGCGAAGGCUAGAACCCGGGCCUCUUGACUCCCAAACCAUCUGGCAUUUUUGAAUCUUUAACAGAAAGCAGCACUUUCCACUUUAUCAGUGCAUUUUGUGCAACACUUUACACCCAUUAAACAAAAUUCUCAUCCCCCCUGCCAUGGGGUAGCUAAAGUGUUAUCCUCCACAUAUUUACAUAUGGGGAAAUAGGCACAAGAAGGUUCGUUCUCCAUCCAGGUUCUGAUAAACGCAUCCAUCGCUGUGGGAAAGUGACUUGCUUAAGGGCUUGCAGUAUGUCAGUAUCAGAGCCAGGAUUAGUACGACGGAGUUCCUGGUUCUUGAUCUGCCUGUGGGCUGGUAACCCCAGAGGAACAGGUUCUUGAGAGAGGUUUCUAGCAUUCCUAGGCCAGAAUGCGGAGUUUUCAGGCACCAAAACAAUUUUAAAAUCAAGUUUAGAUCUAAAAAGCAGCUGACAGAUCCAUGCGUGUUCUUUUCCUCAAGCCUGUUUGCGGAUCUCUUAUCUAGACAUAUCUACAGCUUCAAAACAAGCCAAGUACCUGCAGUGGGUUACUUUGAUUAGUCGCAAAAUAGAGCAAGUUGUCGAGGGUUAGUAAAUGGUAGUAACGUUGGAACCUAAGCACUGUACUUACUGGUAAUGCAAUGGAUACCGUUUUGGGGGUCUGAUUGGACGGGUUCCAUUGGGAUCUUUAUAACUGAGGGAGUUGGGAACCGAGGCUGGGAAAAAAGCGGGAAGAGCCAGUGAAUACAUUGAUUCAUACAGACAUGUCCGGGGUUAGCAUGCCUGAAAACAUACUCAUGCUGAUGAAAAUACAGACGCCUUUCCGCAUUAAAUGAAUCUUUCUUAUGCAUAUGACAGAAGGCCAGGAUUUUCAAAGGAGUCUAAAGGAUUAGGUCCCCAGUUCCCACUGAAAAUCAUACCCUAGACAUCUAUGUAUCUAUUUGCAUGGUGGAAAGAUCAGCAUCAGUUACACCAAUUAGCAUUAAUCAGGGUAACAUGUUGCCUGCCCAUAACAAUAGCUUACAUUUCUAACACCAUUCAUGCUAAAGGAUCCCACAUAAACUACGGUAACACCAUUUAUCUGAAAUGGUUUGGGGGCAUCAGAAACAUCUGGCUAUAACAAGGGGAUUGGAUGAGAGUGUUACAUUACUUGGUAAAUAAUUCACAUAAGUGGACAUAACUAAGAUUAGAAUAAGGAAGAUUUCUGGGUCAGAGAUAUUUGGAUAAAUGAGAUCCUCCUACACACAGAAGUCACCCUCCACUAAAAUGCAGCCAGCUCUGGGGGGGGGGGGGAAGGAGGUGGGGGGAAUGUGGCAGCUCCUUAACAAUGAAUGCUAUGCAUCAGUUUAAGACAGGAAGUAAAAAGAACCAUUGUAUCCAAUUCAAACGGCAAGGGGAGACUACAUAGCUAGAAUCAAUGGGGAAAUAAACCACAUAGUUUGUAAAGCUCGGAUGGUGUCUACAAAAUUUCAUCCAGAUACUUAAACACAAGGAGUUUGGUGAUCAGUUUAUGCCCAAAAGCAUAAACCCUGAUGGCCCUUUUAACUUUUACCUUAGCUAGUAGUAUAACUGUCACUGCUAGUUUUAGUCAAAUAAAUGCCUCUUCCUUUGAUUCUUA